AUGGGGUGACUGCGUACCUUUUGUAUAAUGGGUCAGCGACUUAUAUUCUGUAGCAAGGUUAACCGUAUAGGGGAGCCGUAGGGAAACCGAGUCUUAACUGGGCGAAUGAGUUGCAGGGUAUAGACCCGAAACCCGGUGAUCUAUCCAUGGGCAGGUUGAAGGUUGGGUAACACUAACUGGAGGACCGAACCGACUAAUGUUGAAAAAUUAGCGGAUGACUUGUGGAUGGGGGUGAAAGGCCAAUCAAACCGGGAGAUAGCUGGUUCUCCCCGAAAGCUAUUUAGGUAGCGCCUCGUGAAUUCAUCUUCGGGGGUAGAGCACUGUUUCGACUAGGGGGUCAUCCCGACUUACCAACUCGAUGCAAACUGCGAAUACCGAAGAAUGUUAUCACGGGAGACACACGGCGGGUGCUAACGUCCGUCGUGAAGAGGGAAACAACCCAGACCGCCAGCUAAGGUCCCAAAGUCAUGGUUAAGUGGGAAACGAAGUGGGAAGGCUCAGACAGCCAGGAUGUUGGCUUAGAAGCAGCCAUCAUUUAAAGAAAGCGUAAUAGCUCACUGGUCGAGUCGGCCCGCGCGGAAGAUGUAACGGGGCUAAACCAUGCACCGAAGCUGCGGCAGCGACACAAAGUGUUGUUGGGUAGGGGAGCGUUCUGUAAGCCUGCGAAGGUGUACUGUGAGGUAUGCUGGAGGUAUCAGAAGUGCGAAUGCUGACAUAAGUAACGAUAAUGCGGGUGAAAAACCCGCACGCCGGAAGACCAAGGGUUCCUGUCCAACGUUAAUCGGGGCAGGGUGAGUCGACCCCUAAGGCGAGGCUGAAAAGCGUAGUCGAUGGGAAACGGGUUAAUAUUCCCGUACUGGUGGUAACUGCGAUGGGGGAACGGAGAAGGCUAGGUUGUCCGGGCGACGGUCGUCCCGGUUCAAGCAGGUAGGCAGAGUGAUUAGGCAAAUCCGGUCACUUAAUGCUGAGAUGUGAUGACGAACCACCAAGGUGGUGAAGCAAUUGAUGCCCCGCUUCCAGGAAAAGCCUCUAAGCUUCAGGUUACCAACAAUCGUACCCCAAACCGACACAGGUGGUCAGGUAGAGAAUACUCAGGCGCUUGAGAGAACUCGGGUGAAGGAACUAGGCAAAAUGGUGCCGUAACUUCGGGAGAAGGCACGCUGGCGGUAGGUAAAGUCCCUUGCGGACGGCGCUGAAGCCAGUCGAAGAUACCAGCUGGCUGCAACUGUUUAUUAAAAACACAGCACUGUGCAAACACGAAAGUGGACGUAUACGGUGUGACGCCUGCCCGGUGCUGGAAGGUUAAUUGAUGGGGUCAGCCGUAAGGCGAAGCUCCUGAUCGAAGCCCCAGUAAACGGCGGCCGUAACUAUAACGGUCCUAAGGUAGCGAAAUUCCUUGUCGGGUAAGUUCCGACCUGCACGAAUGGCGUAAUGAUGGCCAGGCUGUCUCCACCCGAGACUCAGUGAAAUUGAACUCGCUGUGAAGAUGCAGUGUACCCGCGGCAAGACGGAAAGACCCCGUGAACCUUUACUAUAGCUUGACACUGAACAUUGAGCCUUGAUGUGUAGGAUAGGUGGGAGGCUUUGAAGUGUGGACGCCAGUCUGCAUGGAGCCAACCUUGAAAUACCACCCUUUAACGUUUGAUGUUCUAACCUAGGCCCAUAAACUGGGUCGGGGACCGUGUCUGGUGGGUAGUUUGACUGGGGCGGUCUCCUCCUAAAGAGUAACGGAGGAGCACGAAGGUUGGCUAAGCAUGGUCGGACAUCAUGCGGUUAGUGCAAAGGCAUAAGCCAGCUUGACUGCGAGAGUGACGGCUCGAGCAGGUACGAAAGUAGGUCUUAGUGAUCCGGUGGUUCUGAAUGGAAGGGCCAUCGCUCAACGGAUAAAAGGUACUCCGGGGAUAACAGGCUGAUACCGCCCAAGAGUUCAUAUCGACGGCGGUGUUUGGCACCUCGAUGUCGGCUCAUCACAUCCUGGGGCUGAAGUAGGUCCCAAGGGUAUGGCUGUUCGCCAUUUAAAGUGGUACGCGAGCUGGGUUUAGAACGUCGUGAGACAGUUCGGUCCCUAUCUGCCGUGGGCGUUGGAAGAUUGAGAGGGGUUGCUCCUAGUACGAGAGGACCGGAGUGAACGCACCACUGGUGUUCGGGUUGUCAUGCCAAUGGCAUUGCCCGGUAGCUAAGUGCGGAAGAGAUAACCGCUGAAAGCAUCUAAGCGGGAAACUUGCCUCGAGAUGAGUCUUCCCUGUCGCUUUAAGCGACCUAAAGGAACGUUUAAGACUAAGACGUUGAUAGGCUGGGUGUGUAAGCGUAG
rnacentral:rRNA from 1 species